rnacentral:rRNA from 1 species
AGACUUUGAUCAUGGCUCAGGACGAACGCUGGCGGCGUGCUUAACACAUGCAAGUCGAACGGGGUGUUUAUUUCGGUAAACACCAAGUGGCGAACGGGUGAGUAACGCGUAAGCAAUCUACCUUCAAGAUGGGGACAACACUUCGAAAGGGGUGCUAAUACCGAAUGAAUGUAAGAGUAUCGCAUGAGACACUUACUAAAGGAGGCCUCUGACAUAAGCUUCCGCUUGAAGAUGAGCUUGCGUCUGAUUAGCUAGUUGGUGAGGGUAAGGGCCCACCAAGGCGACGAUCAGUAGCCGGUCUGAGAGGAUGAACGGCCACAUUGGGACUGAGACACGGCCCAGACUCCUACGGGAGGCAGCAGUGGGGAAUCUUCCGCAAUGGGCGAAAGCCUGACGGAGCAACGCCGCGUGAACGAUGAAGGUCUUAGGAUCGUAAAGUUCUGUUGUUAGGGACGAAGGGUAAGAAUCAUAAUACGGUUUUUAUUUGACGGUACCUAACGAGGAAGCCACGGCUAACUACGUGCCAGCAGCCGCGGUAAUACGUAGGCGGCAAGCGUUGUCCGGAAUUAUUGGGCGUAAAGGGAGCGCAGGCGGGAAACUAAGCGGAUCUUAAAAGUGCGGGGCUCAACCCCGUGAUGGGGUCCGAACUGGUUUUCUUGAGUGCAGGAGAGGAAAGCGGAAUUCCCAGUGUAGCGGUGAAAUGCGUAGAUAUUGGGAAGAACACCAGUGGCGAAGGCGGCUUUCUGGACUGUAACUGACGCUGAGGCUCGAAAGCUAGGGUAGCGAACGGGAUUAGAUACCCCGGUAGUCCUAGCCGUAAACGAUGGAUACUAGGUGUGGGAGGUAUCGACCCCUUCCGUGCCGGAGUUAACGCAAUAAGUAUCCCGCCUGGGGAGUACGGCCGCAAGGUUGCAACUCAAAUGAAUUGA